rnacentral:sRNA from 1 species
CAAUAAGUACUCAGGGGAAGGUGAAAACCUUCGACAAGGUUCGAGCUGAGCGUAGCGAGACAGCGACGCGAAGCGGCGACCCGAAGGGUGAGGAGCGAAGUGACGAAUAAUCCUUCCCCCACCACCA